rnacentral:siRNA from 1 species
GAACCCUAUCACUCAGCCAAUACA